UACGGAGGGGGCUAGCGUUGUUCGGAAUUACUGGGCGUAAAGCGCGUGUAGGCGGCCGUACAGGUCCGGUGUGAAAACUCGAGGCUCAACCUCGAGAGGUCAUCGGAAACCGUACGGCUAGAGUCCGGAAGAGGAGAGUGGAAUUCCUGGUGUAGCGGUGAAAUGCGCAGAUAUCAGGAAGAACACCCAUGGCGAAGGCAGCUCUCUGGGACGGUACUGACGCUGAGACGCGAAAGCGUGGGGAGCGAACAGG
rnacentral:rRNA from 1 species